ACGGCUCAGUAACACGUGGCUAACCUGCCCUUGGGACGGGGACAACCCCGGGAAACUGGGGUUAAUCCCAGAUAGGUGAGAACUCCUGGAAUGGAUUUUCAUCGAAAAGGUGUUGAAGCAUGCUUUCAACGGCGUCCGAGGAUGGGACCGCGGCCGAUCAGGUUGUUGGUGAGGUAACGGCUCACCAAGCCUUUAACCGGUACGGGCCGUGAGAGCGGGAGCCCGGAGAUGGAAUCUGAGACAAAAUUCCAGGCCCUACGGGGCGCAGCAGUCGCGAAAACUCCGCAAUACGCGAAAGCGUGACGGGGCCAACCCGAGUGCCGUCCGCUGAGGAUGGCUUUUCCCCAGUGUAAUGAGCUGGAGGCAAUAAAAGGAGGGCAAGGAUGGUGUCAGCCGCCGCGGUAAAACCAACUCCUUGAGUGGUGAGGAUUAUUAUUGGGCUUAAAGCGUUCGUAGCUGGCCUGACUAGUCCCGCGUUAAAUCCAACGACCUAAUCGUUGGGCUGCGGGGGACACGGUCAGGCUUGGGGGCGGGAGAGGUUAGCGGUAUUCCCGGGGUAGGGGUAGAAUCUUAUAAUCCCGGGAGGACCACCAGUGGCGAAGGCUGCUAACCGGAACGCGCCCGACGGUGAGGGACGAAAGCUGGGGGAGCGAACCGGAUUAGAUACCCGGGUAGUCCCAGCCGUAAACGAUGCAGGCUAGCUGUUGGGAUGGCCACGAGCCAUUCCAGUGGCGCAGGGAAGCCGUUAAGCCUGCCGCCUGGGAAGUAAGAUCGCAAGAUUGAAACUUAAAGGAAUUGGCGGGGGAG
rnacentral:rRNA from 1 species